rnacentral:rRNA from 1 species
AUUGAACGCUGGCGGCGUGCCUAACACAUGCAAGUCGAACGGCAACACGGGGGCAACCCUGGUGGCGAGUGGCGAACGGGUGAGUAAUACAUAGGAACGUAUCCUGAAAAUGGGGGGAUAGCUCGGCGAAAGCCGGAUUAAUACCGCAUACGAUCUACGGAUGAAAGCAGGGGAUUCGCAAGAACCUUGCGUUUCUGGAGCGGCCUAUGUCUGAUUAGCUAGUUGGACGGGGUAAAAGCCCACCAAGGCGACGAUCAGUAGCUGGUCUGAGAGGAUGAUCAGCCACACUGGGACUGAGAC